rnacentral:pre_miRNA from 1 species
ACCAUACUCCCUCCGUUCGGAAUUACUUGUCGCAGAAAUGGAUGUAUCUACACAUAUUUUAGUUCUAGAUACAUCCAUUUCCGAGACAAGUAAUUCCGAACGGAGGGAGUAGUUC